GCGGGACUGGGCCGUGCCGUGGCGCCCGCGGGGCGGGGGCUGCGCGGCGGCGCUCGGGGAGGAGCGGCCCGGCGGCAGCGCUGCCGCGGCCAAGGCAGCCGGACACAGGGAUGCCAGCCCUGGCAUUUCAUAGAUAAAAAUGAUAGAAUCAUAGAAUAUGCUGAAUUUCAAGGAACCCUUCAGGAUCAUCAGGUUCACUUCCAGGGUCUGCACGGGACACUCAAAGAAUCACACUUCUUGAAUCUGUCAGGCUUGAUGAUGUGACCACUUUCCUGGGGAUCCUGUUCCAGUGCCCAAACACCCUCUGGAUGAAAAACCUUUUCGUAAUAUUCAAUCUAAACCUUCCUGACUCAGCUUCAUGCCAUUCUGUUAAGUCCUGUCACUGGUCAAGCGACUGCAGAGAUCAGUGCCUGCCCCUCUGUUUUCUCUCAUGAGGAUGUUGAUGACCCCAAGGAGGUCUCCUCUCAGGCUGACAAGCUCCUCAUCCAACUUCCCCUCCAGACUCUUCACCAUCCUCAUGGCCCUCCUCUGCAUGCUGUCUAAUAGCUCCAUGUCUUUCCUAUAUUGCAGUGCCCAAACCUGCCCCCAGCACUGGAGGUGAGGCUGCCCCAGCUCAGAGCAGAGCAGGACAAUCCCCUCCCUUGCCUGGCUGUGAUGCUGUCCCUGAUGCCCCCCAGGACAGGCUUGGCCCUCCUGGCUGCCAGGGCACUGCUGCCUCGUGUUCAACUUGACACUGACCAGGACCCCCAGGUCCCUUUCCACAACACAGCUUUCCAGCCUCUCAUUCCCUAGUCUGUACACAUAGCCAGUGUUGCCCCAUCCCGGGUGCAGACUAUGGGAUGUUAAAGUUCAUGGUCCUCCAGCUCAGGGCACUGAGACCCCCUUGGUUCAUCAACUGCGUUGACAACAGAGGCAAAGAAUGCAUUAAAUGCCUCUGCCUUGUGUUUGUGAAGUCACCAUCCUCAUCCAUACCCAAACAAAUCCAUAGAAAAAAUUAACAUAUAGGCAUGUAUUCUGGAAAUGUGAUGAAUAUGUAUUAGUUUCAGGAAUAUAGACUGGUCUUUUAGGUUACUGAGCAUCCAUGCUGUCAGGAGAAUUCCACAUGCCUCUAGCACUGCUAAUAAAGAAGUGUCAACUUUCUAACCGAACAAAUUGAUUGGAGAGUUUAUUGUGUGGUUUUCAGUGACAACCUAACCUUGCUUUCACUGGGCACAGACAUUCUGGUUCUGCCUAUCUGCAAAAGAAAAUUCCUGUUCAGCCAAAUUGGCCUCUGCCUCAUCUGUUUGACUUCUGAUAUUUUGAAAUUUCCUGCUGCUGUGCCCUUACAAGGCAACAUUUAAAAAGUAAGCAGCACUGCAAAAACAUUUUCCCAGGGUACUUUACUCAAUAGUUUCCUGAGCAGCAUGAAGCCUGCUUCUCUCAUGUGCAGGGUUGGAGUUUUGCUGGCACUUUUCUUCCUGUCAACAGAGAUUUUAAUCUUGAUCACUUCGUGGUUGCUGUGGCCAAGACAUCUGCCAGUCUCCGCUUUGCUCACAAGAUCCUUUCACAAUCACCAGAUCAAGGAGGAUGUCUUUCCAAGCUGUCUCCCUUAGGAUGCGUUCCCUAAAGUUGUCAUCCACGUAUGCUGGGAAUCUUCUGUCCCGGUUUGUACCUCGGUUAAUUUCUGUCAAGUUGAAGUUCUCUAUGUGGACAAAGGCAGUUGACUUGGAAGUGUCCCUUCCUUCCUCAAAGAAUAAUUCAUUGGCGUCAUUGUCCUGGCCAGGAUGUCUAGAGUAGACUCUCACAGGGACAUGGUCAUCUAACGCCUCUAACCCAGAGGCUCUCAACUGUGCCAUUGCCAACUGUGGGCUCCAUACACACUGACCCCUCUAUUACAUGCAGUGCCACCCCAGCCUCUUCUGCCCUGCCUAUCCCUCCUGCAGAGCCUGGAACCAUCCAACAGGGCACUCCAGUCACAGGACUGGAGUCACAGGACUCAUUCCAACAGGUUUCACUCGUGCCAGUGAUGUCAAAUCUCUGGGAUACAGCGAAAGCCUUGAGCUCCUCCUGUGCGUUCCUCAUGCCCUGUGCGUUCCUCAUGCUCUGUGCAUGUGGUACAUACAAUGCAGAAACAUUUCAGGUGUGGUACAUUGUAGCCAACACCUCCUAGAGCAGAUUGAGGGAUCCAAUCAGUGCUCAUUUCCUCAAGUUCUGGCACAGCAACCCAUUUCUCCUCGCUGGUGAGAGUGGUUUUGUCCUCCUGCCAAGGUAGUUAAAAGCUCUGUCGCUGGCCUCCUUACCUCCUGUGCUAGAGAUCUUUUCCCCUCUAAGACAGGUGCAUCCUGUCAGAUGUCAGUAGAUAAGACGCUGAGUAAAUCCUCUCAUGGUAAAAAACCCCCAAUUUUUCCAAUUAUACCCACCUCUGAGCCACACAUUGAUUUCAUAUAUCUGCCUAUUGAAUAGUGUUCUGUUUUACUAGAAAGAUCGAGGAAGCCAGUACUUGUGUUCCUGUAGUGAUUGAGUGAUAACAAAGCAUGGAAAUAGUAAAUAUUAGAAUUUCUCACUCCUAUCAACAAUGCUAGGGCAAUUUAAGAAAGUUUUAUUCAGACAGACGCAUCCUAAUGACAAGGUUCAGAGUGAGCAUUUGUUACUCACUGAAAAAUAUAGUUAAUAAACAAAAUGUGGUAAAUGUUGCAUAAGAUUUUUUUUGUUAACAUCCCAUUAGAUAAAGGUCUCAGCUGAUGUUAUGUAUUCAAAAGGUAAGGGAACAGAACAAAUUUUUCUACCGGUGUCUAGAAGUUAAUUUAGAUGGUUGUUGUACAGACAUCUGUAACAAGAAAAUAACAAAGAAUUUUAAAACUUGGCUUAAUACUUGCAAUUAUGCAGUUGCAAAUUUAGAACAACUAUAUAAUCUCAUAUUAACAAGGAAAAAUGUAAAGUGGCCAUUUUUCAGCUUUUUUUUUUUUUUUUUUGUGGAAUGAUGUAACUGAAUCUGCUAGACAGUUAGUGAUCCAUUUUCAAAGAUGCAGGAUACCCAUGUAAGUUUCACAUUAAAAAAGGCAGACCUAAGGAAAGCAAAAACACCCCAAAAAACUAGGUUUCAGUCUUCCAAGAAGUUUCAUAAGAGCUAAAAGGAUCUGUAUUUAAGUUCAGAGUGAUAUUUUUCCCUUUUCAAAUCUGUAAAUGUAAACCAUGUGCAGUUUUAAUUUACAUUUUAUUACAGUUUUUUCUAAAAUUUCUGCUCUGUUCAUAUUCUCAUUUUGAUCAUAUAAUACACAGAAUUUCAAGAAAAGCAAUUUCUAAGCUAAUUUUUUCAUAAGUAAUUUUUUGCUUUUUUCAACAGAUAUUUUUGUUAUACUAAGGUUACAUUUUGUAGGGACAGAUACAAGAAAAAUUUUAAAGUGUUUUGUUAUGUUUUUAAUUGGUCUGAUGGUUUUACAGAACCAUCUGGUGUAAAUAGAUAAGGAUGUGACUAGGACAAUUAGGAUAUAGGAGUUUUUAGUUAAUUUGAACAUAUUAAUUGUAUUACUUGAAAGUGAUGGUACAAAGUGUUUGAAUUCAAUUGCCUAAAAAUAGGCAGCUAAAACGGUCUUAAAUAAAUGUUGGGGGUUAGAUUUGGUUUGGUUUUUUUUUUUUUUUUUUUUUUUCCCUCUUCUCACAGAAUUUUUUCCCAUAAGUUUCCAAGAAGCUUUAAUGACUACUUAGUCAGGACAAAAAGAGUGCUUAAGGGAUAUGGCAGCACGAAGCUACACCUAUUGUUUUUGAGUCCCUGGGAGUGUCCCUCAGACGGGAGAGAUGAUGAGCUUUGGGGAAAGGCAAAAAGACAGAUCUGGGGGAGGGGGAGGCACUCUUGCUCUCAGCGCCGAGGAGGACGGUCAGGCUGCCCUCUGCCUCUGUCUCAUCCUGGGAAAUCUAUCGUCAUCUGCUGUGUACCCGGGAAUCCUGAACUCGCUUUCUCCAGCCUCUCCCCCCACCGCCGCUGCUUCUUCGGACCUUUGAGGCUCUCCUGCUACUCUGUAGCCCUGCACUGCCCAGCCCUGCCGGGACACCCCUGCUGUUCCAGCUGCCAGCGCAGAGCUCCUCAUCUCAUCCACCAGCCCGGGACUUUUUCCUUCCUUCCAGUUCGGCCUCUCGGAGUCCUGCAGGGGCACCCAGAUCAAACUGCUCUGGGCUUUUGUAAAAGAAAGCCCUCAAGGUCUAUCCAUCACAGCCUGGUUGGAGAAACUGCUCUUCCUGUAUAUUAUAGAGCCAAAAUAUGAGGAAGGCUUGUGACAGAGGAUAAUAAAGACCUACAGACCCCAUUCAAGAGCGUGUUCCUGCUGUUGUCUACAAAUUCUUUUGUGUCUUUACUGAAACCACAGAUAGUGUAUUUUAGCCUGUGUUCCAUAGCAUUUAAGAUGGAUUACUGAUCACUGAGAAAUUCAUCUGCAAUUCUGGAUGCCUUGGAAACAGCAUAUGCUAGCAACAGAAGGAAAAUUUGGUCUUUACCUGCAUUGUGAAAUAGUCUGAAGACAAUAAUUGUUGGAAAAUUGUACAGUGUCAUGUACAUUUUGCACUGUUUUGGGGACAGGGGCAAUUCUGCUUUUGGACAGCAUGUAGCAUAUGAAAAAGUCUUGAGAGGAGGCAUCAUCAGAAAGUAAAAGUCUGACUCUCAGUGUCUUUUACUUGGUCUUUUUCAUUUUUUCCCUGUUGCAACAUACACUGGAAAUGCAGUUCUAUUAGAUUUCUACUCACUUUCUUGUUUGUUUUUACCACCAUGGACCCUAACAGACAAGUAAAUUCAUGAUAUUUUUUCAUUUAAACAUAUAUACUUCAGAAAUAGGCUGUUUACAGUCAGUCAUAAUCUUGCAAUGGAAAUCAACAGGGAAAAGCUAUGAUUAAGGUAUUAUUUUUUUCUAUUUUUUAAUAUAUUUGAAAAUUAUAUUUUAAACUUAAAAACCAAGUUGUUUCUAUGAAAUGUGGUUAUGUAUAUUUCAUUGUCUCAAGAUUUCUUAGAGAAUGAUCUAUCUUCAUCUACCCUAUUAACCUACUGCUUUUUCAAAAUUUUUACUUUCUCACUGUUCCAUGUACUCAGCAGUACAUUAAAGAAAAAGUAAAAUUCAGUGGAAAGAACCUUAAAUGAGCUGUUUUGCAUUCAUCUUGCAGAGUUCAGUCUUUUAGAAAUCCUUUAGAUCCUUUGCAGACAAAGUCUUUGUUGAUAUUGCUUGAAAUGAUUAUAAAAUGGAGUUUUGAGAUUAGUCUUGCGUGUGUGUAACACAGCUCCUAAUAAUUUUUCAUGUCUGUCUACUCAGAAUACUUUUUCCACGAAUACAACUUUUGAUGUAAUUCAUGUGUACGUUUUUCUGUAUUUUCAAAUAAAAUAAACAGUUCAUGUUGCUUAAACACAUCUCUUUGGUUGGAUUUCUGGUUAAAAUAUUUGAAUUAUUUUAAAUUGCCAUUUCUAAACCUUUUAGGCUCCUCUUUUUAGUCUUGAUCUCUUUUACUCUGGGUAAUAUGGUGAUGGCUAAAGUCUAAGAGUCUGUGCAGCACUGUGCUAUAGCAGUAGAAAAGUCAAAAUAGCACAGCACUUCUUCAUUUUCAAUGAAGUUUUUUUAAACAUUUGGAGCCACAUGAUUUAUGACAAGAUUAUGUUCAUCGCAGCUUUGAGAGCUGUGAAUUUACUUCAGUGUAUCACAACUCUUCUGGAAAUCUGCAGGGUGGCAAUGGUGAAAUACAAGGUAUCUCUGGCAUUGCUUCUUCGCAACCAGGGCAGAGCUGAACUGCUCAUUGAUCAUUUCAGAGAGUAGUGAAGCAGUGUAGACUUUCAGUGGAUACCAAUCCUGACAGCUUUGCUUCUUUCCCUGAGUUAAUUGAGUGCAGUUAGCAGUUUGUUGCAUUUAGCUGCAGGUCCAGCUACAUUUCCAUGCAAGGGAGUGUCGAUACCAGACGAAUUUCAGGUAAUCACCCAGAAAAGUGGUAAAUCUGCCCAUGGACAACCAUCCUUCUCUCCAUUAGCUCUGAGUCUUUUCCCUGACCUCUAAACACUUGCGAGAAUACCACAUAGCACUGUACAAGGGAUCACCUGUGCUGACUGAAGGACUGAUGAGUCUUGCUCCCACUUUAGAUGAGACAAAAUCAAGGACUGGACUCCAACUGUAACACAUAGUCUCUUAAGAGCAUCCUACAUGGGAAUUUAUUUAACCCUGCUUGCUUGUGAAUAAUUAAUGUAAAUCUGGCUUCAGGUUUGUAAUGGAUAUAGCACAAUAGAGAGCAAAAAGGCAAAAAACAUUAACUUUGGGCAUUGAGUGUGUCACAUACAUUCUUGAGGACAGAAUUAGUCCCACUUUACUUAAAAGAAAGCAAAAAGAGAAAUGUGUAUUUGAGAGAUGUUGUACAUACAACAUCCUAGGAAGGUGAAAGCUAUGUCAACAAUAUCAAACAAUGUGCCAUCACUUAGCCAGGGAACCUACCUCUGUUCAAUUACAUUCUACCAUAUGAGCUAGCCCAAAGCCAUAUAUUUUUAUGUUUCCCUUUUCACUGUUAUUUUCAUCUCCAUGCCAUUGGGUUGAAGAGUAUCUUGGGUUGCAAUGUGUCACCAAAAAUGUGUAUUCUGUUUGCCAUGUGUUGAAACUGGUUGGGGAGGUUUGUUUUUGGUUUUGUUUUGUUUUGUUUUUUUCUUUUGUAUAACCCAUUCCUCAUAACUCCAGGAGGAAGGGGGCGGGUGCCUUCUGUUAAUAGGCCAGCUGUUAAAACCAGGUGGAGCAACAUUCCUUAUCUCUUCCAUCACCCAUCCUCUCUCCAGGGGGAUAUCUCCUGUUAAUGAGCAGUUAAGGCUCACCACAUGACUGAUAAAAUUAAAUUGUGAGAUGCUCCACCCAGUGGGAAGAGCCAAGCAUUCCUACCUGGAUAUAAUCUGAGAGUCAGAACACCAGACAGCCUGUUCCCACUGGAUUCCCAGAGGAAGGCCAGACCCAUCUUGCUACGAUUGGACCCUUCUACAGGAUCAUCUCUACUCCAACAGAACCACAUCUGUUACUCCAGAAGGAUUGAUUUGGACUGCUUCCAAUGCCCCGGCCAACAGUAUUCUGACUCUAUCAGGAUUUCUAGGAUGUUUGUUUGUUUGUUUGAUUUUUUUCUUGUUUUUUGUUUGUUUGUUGGAGGGGGCGGUUGGUCAACUACAUUUGUAUUUUUAAUAUUUUAAGUAAAAUACUCCUAUUCCCAUA